rnacentral:lncRNA from 1 species
CACCUAACCUCUCCCCCUAUGACUGGCUCUCACUCUUCCACAGGCUUCUUAGGAGCCUCCGAAGUCCCUGCGACUGAUCUGCUCCCAGCCUCCGGACUCCGCCCAGUUGAUGUGCUCCCACGUAUCUGCCCAAGAGGAAGGAAGACAAACGUCCACACAGAGACUUGUACACAAAUGUCCACGGCAUCAGUAUUCGUGACAACCCCAAACUGGAAACAACCCAAGCGCCCGUGGACACACAGAGAGGUUCAGACGUGGGCUUGCCAUACUUUACCCGGCUCCUGACGCUCAUCCGUUAUAACAGGGUUUGGUACAAGUAACAGAAGCAUGAAUUGCUAUUUCUCUCACAAGAAGAAGCCUGGGGACAGGUGAGGCUGAGAAACAAGGCUGUCAGGGACCACUCUUUCCAUCCCUCUGUGCCCCCGUCUCCCAUGGGGUGCCUUAUUGUCACAGACCAUGGCUGGGCACACCCCUGUUCCCUGGAAAGCAGAGCCGUGCAUAAAGGUGGGGUCUCUCCGGGGUGGCUCUGCCUUCUCUCCUACAAGAGGC